rnacentral:pre_miRNA from 1 species
AAAAAGACAAACCCUGAGUUUCCGUGUCCAACGUUCGACUGUCCGUCUUAUAUGAAAUUAUUUUAUAAUUAGUAUUUUUAUUGUUGUUAGAUGAUAAAACAUGAUUAAUACUUUAUGCAUGACUUGUCUUUUUAAUUUUUUUAAAUAAGACGGAUGGUCAAAUGUUAGACACGGAAACCAGGAUUUGUUCAUU